GAUGAACGCUGGCGGCGUGCCUAAUACAUGCAAGUCGAGCGAACGGACGAGAAGCUUGCUUCUCUGAUGUUAGCGGCGGACGGGUGAGUAACACGUGGAUCACCUACCUAUAAGACUGGGAUAACUUCGGGAAACCGGAGCUAAUACCGGAUGAUCUUUUGAACCGCAUGGUUCAAAAGUGAAAGACGGUCUUGCUGUCACUUAUAGAUGGAUCCGCGCUGCAUUAGCUAGUUGGUAAGGUAACGGCGUACCAAGGCAACGAUGCAUAGCCGACCUGAGAGGGUGAUCGGCCACACUGGAGGGGAGACACGGUCCAGACUCCUACGGGAGGCAGCAGUAGGGAAUCUUCCACAAUGGGCGAAAGCCUGACGGAGCAACGCCGCGUGAGUGAUGAAGGUCUUCGGAUCGUAAAACUCUGUUAUUAGGGAAGAACAUAUGUGUAAGUAACUGUGCACAUCUUGACGGUACCUAAUCAGAAAGCCACGGCUAACUACGUG
rnacentral:rRNA from 1 species